UACAGAGGGUGCGAGCGUUAAUCGGAAUGACUGGGCGUAAAGCGCGCGUAGGCGGUUAUAUAAGUUGGGGUGUGAAAAUCCCCUGGGCUCAAACCUAGGAAUUGCAUUCAAAACUGUAUGACUUGAGUGAAGUAGAGGUGAGUGGAAUUUCCGGAGUAGCGGUGAAAUGCGUAGAUACCGGAAGGAACACCGAGUGGCGAAGGCGACUCACUGGGCUUUAACGUGACGCUGAGGUGCGAAACGUGGGGACAAACAGGG
rnacentral:rRNA from 1 species